CCUACGGGUGGCAGCAGUGGGGAAUAUUGCGCAAUGGGCGAAAGCCUGACGCAGCGACGCCGCGUGAGGGAUGAAGGUCUUCGGAUCGUAAACCUCUGUCAGCAGGGAAGAACGGUCACUGUGCUAAUCAGCAGUGAAUUGACGGUACCUGCAAAGGAAGCACCGGCUAACUCCGUGCCAGCAGCCGCGGUAAUACGGAGGGUGCGAGCGUUAAUCGGAAUUACUGGGCGUAAAGCGCUCGUAGGCGGUAUGUCAAGUCAAGGGUGAAAUCCCCGCGCUCAACGUGGGAACUGCCUUUGAAACUGGCAAACUGGAGUGUGUGAGAGGAUAGUGGAAUUCCAGGUGGAGGAGUGAAAUGCGUAGAUAUCUGGAGGAACAUCAGUGGCGAAGGCGACUAUCUGGCACAUAACUGACGCUGAGGAGCGAAAGCGUGGGUAGCAAACAGGAUUAGAUACCCUGGUAGUC
rnacentral:rRNA from 1 species